rnacentral:precursor_RNA from 12 species
UUUCAAGAUAAGACUAGUCUCUUCUGACACACCCUAACUGAGGGCAUUUAUUGGAUAUAUGAAAAGAUAAGUGCUCUCUGUGGGGUGAGACAGGUUGAGAACUGACCUCGCCAUACUG